rnacentral:lncRNA from 1 species
UGAUGCUGCGAUUAUAACUGCCUGUGAUGUGCCGUUUGCAUGUGAUGUGAAUGAGAGUCGGGUAGAUAGGUUUACAUGUGAUGUAGCAAACCCAAUGAGACCUAAAUUAAAACCUCCUCAAUCAAGUCGAGAGUGAACCAACAUGAGCGAGUUAUAUUAGAUUAAUUGAUCUAAUUGGUGUCUAGGAAAGCAUGAAAGGUGGUUACUUAAUUAGGACCUUACUCUCUGAGUAAGGGGGGCCUCCCACCUACUUACCUGGCCAAUUGUUCGAUUACCUCUUAUGAAGAGCUCAAGUUGCAAACACUAAGACCUGAUUAACCAAUAUUAAGUUAAUAGGUCUUCCACUGU